rnacentral:rRNA from 1 species
GUCUAUGGUCAUGCCACCCUGAACGUGCCUGAUCUCAUCUGAUCUCGGAAGCUAAGCAGAGUCAAGCCUGGUUAGUACUUGGAUGAGAGACCAUCUAGGAAUAUCAGGUGCUGUAAGCA